rnacentral:rRNA from 1 species
CAUUAUCGUACAACAUGUGAGAGGCGUGCGAGGGCUGUCGCUGACUUUUCGACACAAAAGUCGUGCACGCCGGAGCGUGUCCUCUUGCAUAAAAUCCAUCUCACCCUUUUGUGCACCACCGCGUGGGCACCUUUUGGGAUCUAACUGAUCCUGGAGGGGGGCUUGCGCUUUCACACAAACCCCUUUUAAAAAGUGUAGAAUGACCCCAUUUUGCGAUGACACGCAAUCAAUACAACUUUCAACAACGGAUCUCUUGGCUCUCGCAUCGAUGAAGAACGCAGCGAAAUGCGAUACGUAAUGUGAAUUGCAGAAUUCAGUGAAUCAUCGAAUCUUUGAACGCACCUUGCGCCCCUUGGUAUUCCGAGGGGCACACCCGUUUGAGUGUCGUGAAAAUCUCAACCUUCUCGGUUUUCUUCUGGACACCGAAGGAGGCUUGGACUUUGGAGGCCUUUGCUGGCGUCUCUCUCUUUUUGAGAGCCAGCUCCUCUUAAAUGAAUUAGCGGGGUCCUCUUUGCCGAUCCUCGACAUGUGAUAAGAUGCUUCCAUGACUUGGUUUCUGGCUCUGUUGCCUUUGGGACCUGCUUCUAACCGUCUCUCGACGAGACGACGUUUGGGCGCGUCUCCCUUCUCGGGAGACUCUCUCAACCCCACGAACCCUUGACCUCAAAUCGGGUGAGACUACCCGCUGAACUUAA